CCUACGGGAGGCAGCAGUGAGGAAUAUUGGACAAUGGGCGCAAGCCUGAUCCAGCCAUGCCGCGUGCAGGAAGAAGCAUCUAUGGUGUGUAAACUGCUUUUGUACAGGAAGAAACACUCCCUCGUGAGGGAGCUUGACGGUACUGUAAGAAUAAGGACCGGCUAACUCCGUGCCAGCAGCCGCGGUAAUACGGAGGGUCCGAGCGUUAUCCGGAAUCAUUGGGUUUAAAGGGUCCGUAGGCGGUUUAAUAAGUCAGUGGUGAAAUCUGGUCGCUCAACGAUCAAACGGCCAUUGAUACUGUUAGACUUGAAUUAUAAGGAAGUAACUAGAAUAUGUAGUGUAGCGGUGAAAUGCUUAGAUAUUACAUGGAAUACCAAUUGCGAAGGCAGGUUACUACUUAUGGAUUGACGCUGAUGGACGAAAGCGUGGGGAGCGAACAGGAUUAGAUACCCUGGUAGUCCACGCCGUAAACGAUGGAUACUAGCUGUUCGGAGCAAUCUGAGUGGCUAAGCGAAAGUGAUAAGUAUCCCACCUGGGGAGUACGUUCGCAAGAAUGAAACUCAAAGGAAAUUGACGGCGUGAGACGUAGACGACGGACGACGACGAGGGGAGGAGG
rnacentral:rRNA from 1 species